ensembl:lncRNA
GUGCUGGAACAGCUGCCCAGAGAGGCUGUGGAUGCCUCGUCCAUCCCUGGAGGUGUUCAAGGCCAGGUUGGAUGGGGCCCUGGGCAGCCUGGGCUGGUAUUAAGUGUAGAGGUUGGUGGCCCUGCCUGGGGGGAUAGGGGGGGGGGGUGAGCUUCAUGAUCCUUGAGGUCCCUUCCAACCCAGGCCAUUCUAUGAUUCUAUGUCCCAGAUGAGAGCAGCCAGCUGCAGUUUGUGCAUGGUCCCGAUGCACCGUGCCCUGCCCUGCCCUGGGGAGCCAGGCACUACUGGGACACAGUGGCAGCCACCGGGGAUGUGAUUUGCAGCCACCAGGUUGGGGCAAACCUGCCACGUGUUGGCUGGAAACUGCUACUCCUCCCUGUGUGUAAAAAUGAAUCAAAGCCAUAAUGCUAUCUGUACUCCCAAUUAGAAACUUAGAAACUACAAUCAAACAGUCCACAACCUUAGACCUCUCCAUAUUUGCUCCAGUCUCUCCUAUUCAGGGAUAUAUGGACUAUCAGUUAAUAAAAAAUCCUUCUCUUUCUGAUAUAAAUAUUCACUAGAUGUGGUUUCUUUUGUCUGCACAAUAAAUAUUAAGGGGAAGCUCACCAGGAAAUUAGAGCAGAGCCUGCAGCUGGCUGUCCUUGGAUGAUGUACUGCGAAUGAACCACGUCCUGUGGGGAUUAUUCCGGUCCCCGAACAUCAUACUUCUUGUAUCUGAACAUCAAAAUAUGCUUUCUUCCAACUCCAGACAACGGUACACAUAUAAAUUUUCUAAUGGAUUUUCUGUUCAGCUGUCACUGUGGCUGAUCCAGCAGACAGAAGUAUAUCAGCCACAUCCAUUUAUAUUAGAAGUACCGUAACGUUCCCAAAGUCGCUUUGAAUUCGGUUUGAUGGUCUCAGAUUUUAAGUAAUAUGCAAAAUCACAUAUUAAGCACUUUCUUUUAUACUCCUUCAACUGGUGUCAUCCACCCGGGUGUGUGCAAGGCCUCAGACAUGGUUACAUAGCACAUCCUUAUAUCUAAGUGGGAGGGAUACAGGUUUGAAGGGUCAGUAUGGAGUUGGUUGGGUGGUCGCAGCCGAAGGGUGACAGUCAGCUGCUGGGGUGGGCUCAUAGGUGGCCAUGAGGAUGCUCAGAGGGCUGCAGCACCUCUCCUAUGGAGACAGGCUGAGGGAGCUGGGGGUGUUCAGCCUGGAGAAGAGAAGGCUGUGGGGAGCUCAAAAGGUGCUAGUACCCUCUUAAACAAGUUGUUCUUACCUUCAGGCAGGAUGGUAGCACAGGACUGAAUGCUGGAGUGGUCUGGAAGGAUACAAGGGGAUGUCUGCUCUCCAUCCAUCGGCAGCUACACCGCAUCCAUCAUUGUCACAAAAGCUGUUCCCGGCUCCCAUCUGGCCCGAGUCCAGCCUGUGCUGGGGCUGUGUUGCUCCUGAAGCCAAAGCCGUUCCCCAUCACGCAGCCACAGGUGCACGCAGACAGGAGCUCCCCACCAGCAGUGCGCAGCCCAGUGGGAAGCCAGGGAAUGCAGCGGGUUGCUGUGACAUCUCCUACGUGCUCCUCUACAGACGGUCCUUGUGUUCUGCAGAGCCAGAACACAGGGACAUGGGGAUGCAAGGACACAGGGACACCAGGAUACGGAGACAUCAGGACACGGGGCACCAGGACGGGGGGACACAAGGACAGGGGGUACCUGGGCACAAGGCACAAGGACACAGAGACAUCAGGACACAGGGACACAAGGACAG